rnacentral:tRNA from 1 species
GUCCCAGUGGCCGAGUGGUUAAGGCGAUGCCCUGCUAUUGAAAGGUUGCAUUCAGGCAUUGGGUUUUACCUGCGCAGGUUCGAAUCCUGUCUGUGACG